AAAGUGAUAUAUUCUUUGCAGAAUAUACAUCGUACACCCUACUGAGUAUCACACCUGUUGCUUCCGUGGGGCUGUGACAAACCUGGUCACGCUCUGGAUGAAAACUGUCAUCCAGUUGAUGUCUCCACGGGAGGUAUACCAUUAACACUUCUGUUUCAUCAUGCCCUUCUGUCUGUAUGCAAUACAAUGAAUGUCA
rnacentral:misc_RNA from 1 species